AAGUCGUAACAAGGUUUCCGUAGGUGAACCUGCGGAAGGAUCAUUAACACUUUUGAAUCCCUGAACUUGUUCUCCCAAAUUCACUUGGGCAGAACUCGUUCUUAACCCCACAAUUUGCGAACGAUGAUUUAUAUCGCGGAUAAUUUAUAUUAUCUUCGAUAUAUUUCCCCUUUUUCUCUUUUUUAUUCCCCAUUUAUUUUUACCCCAAAUUAUCCAUUCGACUGAUAUGAACUUUAUCUUUUUCCUUAAAACGAAAAAGAUAAAACGAUUAAAAAAUGGUUAAAACAACUCUUAGCAACGGAUAUCUUGGCUCUC
rnacentral:misc_RNA from 1 species